GACAGAGGGUGCAAACGUUGUUCGGAAUUACUGGGCGUAAAGCGCGUGUAGGCGGCCCUGCAAGUCGGGUGUGAAAUCCCACGGCUCAACCGUGGAAGUGCACUCGAAACUGCAGGGCUAGAGUCCUGGAGAGGAAGGUGGAAUGCUUGGUGUAGAGGUGAAAUUCGUAGAUAUCGAGAGGAACACCUGCGGCGAAGGCGGGUUGCUGGGCUGACACUGACGCUGAAGCGCGAAAGCUAGGGGAGCGAACGGG
rnacentral:rRNA from 1 species